GUAGUCGGAUUCGCAUUAAUCUAUAUAUUGAAGUGGGUUGGAGUAAAACUUGAACUAAAUUCCACCCAAAUCCACUUCAAACAUGUGGAUUGAUGAGAAUCCGACA
rnacentral:pre_miRNA from 1 species